CCUACGGGAGGCAGCAGUAGGGAAUCUUCCGCAAUGGACGAAAGUCUGACGGAGCAACGCCGCGUGAGUGAAGAAGGUUUUCGGAUCGUAAAACUCUGUUGUCAGGGAAGAACAAGUAUGGGAGUAACUGUCCGUACCUUGACGGUACCUGGCCAGAAAGCCACGGCUAACUACGUGCCAGCAGCCGCGGUAAUACGUAGGUGGCAAGCGUUGUCCGGAAUUAUUGGGCGUAAAGCGCGCGCAGGCGGCCUUUUAAGUCUGAUGUGAAAGCCCCCGGCUCAACCGGGGAGGGUCAUUGGAAACUGGAAGACUUGAGUGCAGAAGAGAAGAGCGGAAUUCCACGUGUAGCGGUGAAAUGCGUAGAGAUGUGGAGGAACACCAGUGGCGAAGGCGGCUCUUUGGUCUGUAACUGACGCUGAGGCGCGAAAGCGUGGGGAGCAAACAGGAUUAGAUACCCUGGUAGUCCACGCCGUAAACGAUGAGUGCUAAGUGUUGGGGGGUUUCCGCCCCUCAGUGCUGCAGCUAACGCAUUAAGCACUCCGCCUGGGGAGUACGGCCGCAAGGCUGAAACUCAAAGGAAUUGACGG
rnacentral:rRNA from 1 species